UCAUGCUCCUUGCUUCUGGCUAAUCCGACUACUCUAACUAGUGGUCCAGCCAAAGGAGACAUGGGUAUCUGUUUAUUAACUCCUCCUCUUGUUGGAGUACUAUUUUUUUCUUCGUUUUGAAUUUUAAGAUCUUUCAUAUCUUAAAUAUAUUCUUAAAUAUUAAAAAUGCAAUUUUAUUAAUGCCAACAAUUUCCGACGAGAGAUGGCGGUGGAAUGGAUUCAUUUUUUUUUUUUGAGAAAAAAAUAUCCCUCCCAAAAAAUCGAAAUUUAAAGGAUUUAUCCCUUUUCUAAAGUCUUUGGCAUAUGCAGGAUAUUUUUCCAUUUCAGAAAUUAAAAUUUCAAACUGUUUCCGAUUUGGAAUUUUCAUCUUCACUUCAAAUAUUCCUUCAAACAACCGCGUUGUUUCUAUGUCGCUCACAAUUAUAGCAACGACAAAAACGACUGUUUCUAUGUCGUUUCUAUAGUCGUUUCAAAUUGGGGAAUCUCAAUUUAUUUUCGAUAAAUGUCGUUAACGCCAACAGGAAUGCCAAAUAGGCGUUCUUAAGUCGUUUUAAAACGAUAACGACAACGGGAAUAGGGGCGAUUGAACGUGUAGCAGGCGCCUUCGAGUUCAAUGAAUUGGACUGAAUGUUCUUUUCCUUUUUGCUGCGCAUGGCAAGUACUUUGACCCGAUGCAGGAGCUUAAUCGCACAUCAGCCGGCCACCGCCAGACCAACAUUUUGGUUCCAUCAGGCAAUUUCUGGCGAAUCGAGGGUGGUGGCCAAUAGCUGCCACCUAAUCCUGGAUGUUAUGCGACCCCUGUGGCAUUGGUUGGCUUGCAACCAUGAGGAAUAUUCGGCUGUAUUCGAAUGGCGCCUUCGCAAUACCGGAGACGUCAUAGGGCUUUGGGAUUGAGAACCUGAUUGUUUCCCCAAAGAAAAUAUUGAUUAGGAGCUGUGCAGAAGAAAACAACGUAGUGCCCUCCUCAACGAUUGAAACCUUGGUAGAGUACUGCAGCCGUCAUAGUCUCCCACUAAUCAGCACGGACUGCAACGCAAAGGGUCAAAUUUUCCUUGUAAAAUGCUAUAAUUAAGCCAUAAAUAAAGUUAUGAGAACAAAAUUUGGUACAAAGGAUCACAUUAGGCAGGUGAAUAUUUGGAAAACAUUUUUUUGGGAAAGUGGGCGUGACCGAGCCCAUUAACGUUUUUUGUGCAUAUCUCGUAAACUGCUAAAGCUAUAUCACCCAAAUUUAAGCACUUGAUUACACAGCAUGAAAAUGGAGGAAAUCGGAUUAUAACCAUGCCCACCUCCCAUACAAAUGUUAUGUUGAAAACUACUAAAAGUGCUUUAAUUCAGUAAGGAAAAACAACAACUAAAUUUUAUCGUAAAGAUUGUACGGAAAAUAUGCAUUAAACUUGGCAUAAAAAUGGAAAA